CCAAUCUUCGGAACCGAAUUUCUGGCUCCUCCCUCCAUGAAAAACGGAACCAAAUGGSAAACUUGGUGGGAAUUGGAAAAUCCCCUGAACCCUCCAAUUUUUUAACCCCAGUUUGCCCCCAAGCCUUUCGGCCAGGCACCUCUGGCUGGGCCUCCCCCCCU
rnacentral:rRNA from 1 species